rnacentral:rRNA from 1 species
AGAAUCAACGCUGGCGGCGUGCCUAACACAUGCAAGUCGAACGAGGAAGUGGAGCAAUCCAUGAGUAAAGUGGCGACCGGGUGAGUAACACGUGACUAACCUACCUUCGAGUGGGGGAUAACCUCGGGAAACCGGGGCUAAUACCGCAUAAUAUCCACGGAUCAAAGGAGCAAUUCGCUUGAAGAGGGGGUCGCGGCUGAUUAGUUAGUUGGCGGGGUAAUGGCCCACAAGACAAUGAUCGGUA